AUAAAGAGGAGUGUUUGGGGCUGGGGAACCUGCCGGAGAAGAGAGACAGAAGGCGGCGGUGCUCCUCCUCCUCCUCACUGGUUCCUUGCAGAUCAGGAUUUUGCAUCCCGGCCGUGGCCAUGAGGAUGCUUUACCUGCUGCUGGCUGUGCUCUUUGUGGUGCUGCAGGGCGUUGCAGGUGAGCCCUCCUUUUCCAGCCCCAUGCAUGCUUGCAGAUUUCUAAGGGGAGUCUGCAUUCCUGGGCAAUGUCGGCGACCAUAUUACCGGGUUGGAUCAUGUGGUGCAAUUAG